UACAGAGGUCCCAAGCGUUGUUCGGAUUCACUGGGCGUAAAGGGUGCGUAGGUGGCUUGGUAAGUUUGAUGUGAAAUCUCCGGGCUUAACCCGGAAAUGGCAUUGAAUACUAUUGAGCUGGAGGUUUGGAGGGGGGACUGGAAUUCUCGGUGUAGCAGUGAAAUGCGUAGAUAUCUGGAGGAACACCGGUGGCGAAGGCGGCAUCCUGGACCGGCAUUGACGCUGAGGCGCGAAAGCCAGGGGAGCAAACGGG
rnacentral:rRNA from 1 species